rnacentral:rRNA from 1 species
CGUGUAGGCGGUAUAUUAAGUCAGAUGUGAAAACCCCGGGCUUAACUCGGGAGGUGCAUUUGAAACUGAUAGACUUGAGUGCAGGAGAGGAAAGUGGAAUUCCUAGUGUAGCGGUGAAAUGCGUAGAUAUUAGGAGGAACAUCAGUGGCGAAGGCGACUUUCUGGACUGUAACUGACGCUGAGGCGCGAAAGCGUGGGGAGCAAACAGGAUUAGAUACCCUGGUAGUCCACGCUGUAAACGAUGAAUACUAGGUGUAGGAGGUAUCGACCCCUUCUGUGCCGGAGCUAACGCAAUAAGUAUUCCGCCUGGGGAGUACGGCCGCAAGGUUGAA